AAUAUAAGGCAAUAAAUAGCUUCAAAUUUCUUCACUUACUACAAAAGAAAAAAAAAAAGCGCUAUGACUUUGGCUGUACAUUUAUUAUAUAUAUUCGCUUCUUUUGGGAGUAUAGAAUUAUUUUGUUGACAAACUAUUGAAUCAAGCCUAACU
rnacentral:ribozyme from 14 species